GACGAACGCUGGCGGCGUGCUUAACACAUGCAAGUGGAGCGACGAACCGGGCUUCGGCCCGGGGCAAAGCCGCGAACGGGUGAGUAUCACGUGGGUAACCUGCCCCGAUGACCGGGAUAACCCGAGGAAACUCGAGCUAAUACCGGAUGUGCUCCCAAUCCAUCAGGGUUGGAAGUAAAGGAAGCUUCGGCCUCCGCAUUGGGAUGGGCCCGCGGCCCAUUAGCUUGUUGGUGAGGUAACGGCUCACCAAGGCCACGGUGGGUAGCUGGUCUGAGAGGACGAUCAGCCACACUGGGACUGAGACACGGCCCAGACUCCUACGGGAGGCAGCAGUGGGGAAUCUUGCGCAAUGCGCGAAAGCGUGACGCAGCAACGCCGCGUGAGGGAAGAAGGCCUUCGGGUUGUAAACCUCUUUCAGGAGGGACGAAGGUUCAGGCGCGAAUAGCGUCCUGGACUGACGGUACCUCCAGAAGAAGCCCCGGCUAACUACGUGUCAGCCGCCGCAGUAAGAC
rnacentral:rRNA from 1 species